rnacentral:lncRNA from 1 species
AGGGCAAUAUCUUACUAGUUUCGACCCCUGCUGUGUGAUGAGGUUUUGACAGUCAUAAUUGUACAGCAGGCCAUAGUUUAAUAUAAGUAAUUAUAAACCAGGAAUUAUUAAUCAUUAUCUAAUAAUCUGAUACUAAACUAUUGGAUGUUGCUUGUGAAAUAACAAGAAAAUUCAAAGUGAUUAUAUCAAGUGAUUCUAUGAUACUUCUAGACAGCAAAAUAAAAAUAAAAGAAGAGGUUCAAGCCUUGUUAAGGUUUUAGCAUCACAAUCAGACAGCACCUAUAAAAUAAGUCAACUAUGCCAUGGUCCCAGUAGCCAGUAAAGUUCGUUGGGACCAACUUCCUUCCUCUUCAGCUCAUGCCUCUUGGAACACAUGGGGCAGCUGUGUGCACCUCAGAUGGAGCAGCCAAAAAGAGCUCAGAGCUUUGGUCCUGACUUUGCAGCCCAAGUGAGAUCAUGGGUUUUGUACUCCAGGCACUGUGCUAGGCACCAGGACUAUAAUACAACUUGUGAUCUGUAGAGGAGUCAGACAAUUAUCCAGGCAUCCCAAAGAAAUGUCAAUUGCAAGCCUGGAUCCCUUUUUCCCUGGAGGCUGUUCUGAAGAUGGCACCCUACCUGCUCACCUUUUAGUGUACCUGGGCACCCAUGCCUCCAUAUGGUGACCCUCAAAUCAUACUGUAUGAAGAGCAGCUGUUUUGUCAACUAUUUUUUAAUGAGAUUUUUUUUGCUUUGGUUUAAAAAAUAGCAUAUAUUUGCGUUAGAAAAUUAGAAAUACAGAAGAAACAGAAAUAUAAAAGAAUUACCUAUAACAUGCAAAAAUGACUAGUACAAAUGUUUUUGUUUUUUUACAGUAUGUGAACAUAUUGUAUGUUUAUAUUAAUAUCCAUAGUAUUUAUUUUUGCCUACAUGUUUUACUUAACAUAUGUAGUAAGCAUUUCCCAUGUUAGUCAAAUUAUUUGUGGACAUUAUUUUUAAUGACUAUUAAUGUUAUUACUCUACAGCUUGCCGAAUAAGUCUCCUAUUAUAUGUCAUUUUGGGUCCUAGCAACAUUUUUGUGUUUAAAUCCUUGUAGCAGUUUUGACUGAUUUCCUUAAGAUAGAGUCCAAGAAGAGAAAUAAUUUGCUUGUUUGUUUAUCAUUUGGUACUUUCUUUUAUGGUAAUGUCCUUGGGGCUGAUAAUUCAGAACCAUGAAUAGAUAUGAUUCUUGUCUUUGAGGAGAUUGUAGCCUUGUGCUAGGUUAAAGAAUAGGCACGUUUUAAAGUUCUCGAUACACAUUUUCAAAGUGCUUUUCAAAAAUUUGUAUCAAUUCAUCCUUCUACUAUAAGGGAAAAUCUGUUCUGGGUUGUUUUUCUGGUAUAUCUUCCUAUUAAGAACCUGUUCUCCCUCCUGCUUUGUGACUCACAUGGAGUUGCCACUGCAUGCUAUCAUCUCCAUCCCUUAGAGCAACCUAUUAGAGAACUUACUCUCUGGAGUCCCAAAAGAGAAACAACAGCAACAACUCAGCAAUUCAUCUGGGGUCAGCGUGUUACCCAGUCUGGGCCAUUGGAGAUUUUUUUAAAGGGAAGUUUCUCCUAUUUUCUUCAAAAUUCUGAGCUGUGAAGAGGACCACUAGAAAGUUCAAUCUAUUUAUGAUUUUUUAAAAAACUGUUAUUAUAUAUAUUUAAGUGUAUGUCAUGUUUCCACACAUAUAUACAUAGUGAAAUGAUCACUGUAAUCAAGCUAAUUAGAAUAUCCCCCAUCUCGCAUAGUCACCUUUGUGUGUGAAAAGGGUUCAGUGCUUCCCUCUCCACUCUUCAUCUCCCCUUUAAAAAAGCAGAGAUGAAUGGAGAGGGAAAGGUUGAACAAUGGUUAUGUGGUGGGACUGCUGGGAUUCACCUGAGAGUUAAAACCAGCUAGUUCUACCCGUAUGUUUUUCACUUAGAUAAGCCAACAAAUUAAUUUCUUUUCCUCUAUUCUUCUUGUCUUCUUUCCUGCCUCUUUACCUGUCUCCCUUCCUUCCUCUCUUCCCACUCUCUUUCUUUCCUUAUUUAAAUUGGUUUGAAUUGAGUUUCUGACACUAAUGGAGAGUCCUUAUUGUGCCUUCACGUUAUUUUUAUCAAACCAGAAAAUGUUAAUGACAUAAAACAAUUACUGUUUGGACAAGGAAAAUUGUAUUUCUUUCCUUGAAAUUUCUACACACAUACACAUUUGUGCUUGUUAGUGAGGCUAAGCAUUUUCCCCCUUAUUUGUGAAUUAUAUAUUCAAUGUUUUGAUCCAUUUAUCAAAUAAAUUCCUUAGUUUAAAAAAUAUUUGCAGGUGCGGUUAUUAUGGAAAGCAGCAUGAAGUUUCCUCUAAAUAUUAAAAAUAGAAUCACCACAUGACUCAGCAAUCCCUCCUCUCUAUAUAUUUUUAAAGGAAAUGAAAUCAGCACUUCAUGGAACUAUCUCCACUCCCGGCUGGGCGCAGUGGCUCACGCCUGUAAUCCCAGCACUUUGGAAGGCCAAGGCAGGUGGAUCACGAGGUCAAGAGAUGGAGACCAUCCUGGCCGACAUGGUGAAACCCUGCCUCUACUAAAAAUACAAAAAUUAGCUGGGCGGGGAGGCACAUGCCUGUAAUCCCAGCCACUCGGGAGGCUGAGACAGGAGAAUCGCUUCAACCUGGGAGGCGGAGGUUGCAGUGGCUGAGAUCGCACCACUGCAGUCCAACCUGGUGACAGAGGGAGACUCCAUCAAAAAAAAAAAAAAGAAAAAAAGAAAUAUCUCCACUCUUAUAGUCAUUGAAGCAUAAUUAACAAUAACCAAGCUAUGAAAUCAAUGUAAGUGCCCAUCAAUGGAUGAGUGGAUAAAGAAAAUGUUACACACACACACACACACACACACACACACACACAGUGGAAUUUCAUGUAGCCUUAAAAAAGAAGACGAUUUUGUUAUUUAUAACAUGCCUGAAUGUGGAGGACAUUAGGUUAAGUGAAAUAAGCCAGAAAGAAAAAUACUGCAUGAUCUUACUUAUAUGUGGAAUCUAAAAACGUCAAGUACAAAAAAGCAAAAAGUAGAAUAGUGGUUGCUGGGAUCUGGGGCUGAGAUUAUGAUGGGCAAAUGGGAAGAAAUUGAGUGCAGAGUUUUGAUUAGGAUCAAUAAGUCUAGAGAGCAAAUGUACAGCAUGAAGACUAUAGUUACUACUGGGUUGUAUACUGGAAAUUUGCUAAGAAAGUAGGUUGUAGGUCCUCUUACCAUACACACAUAUACAGGUAACUAUGCGAGAUGAUGGAUAUUCUAAUUAGAUUGACUGUAGUAAUCAUUUCACUAUGUAUGUGUAUGAAAACAUGACAUACACCUUAAAUAUAUAUAAUAACAUUAAAAAAACCCAAAAUCUUGAAAAGAUUAUUAAGCUUUCCAAUGCCCAAGAAAAGGAAGAAAAGAAAAAGAAACUGCCACAGCUUAUUUUAAAAAUAAAAGUGGGCUCUCUUUUUAAAAUAUUAAUUUUAUAGUACCUUAUCUGGUAACCAAAAUAUUUUUAAAUAUUCUGAUGCUAUUAUAGUAUAAUCAUUCUUUAAUAAUUUUGUAGAUUUCACUUUACUGAACAAAGCCCUAAACAAAAACAUUGAAUAUGACAAAAACUUGCAUAAGUUUAUUUCAUACUGAAGACAUAUAUGCUAUAGAUUUGUAGAAAUACUUCCCACUUGGUUACUUGCUUAUGUUAUGAGUUUUUACCUACAGAAACUUGCUUUUUUUCUUGUAAAAUUUAGAUUAAUUUCUUUGGUAUGUUUUCCUACUGCUUUAAAACUUCAGAAUUCCUUUUUUCAUAGAACUUUUCUAUUUUCACUUAGAAACAUUCAGAACUUAUGUUAGUGUGUGAUUUGAGGUGGUUUUUGUGUUGACUUUGUUUCCUACCUUGUUAGCUAUUUUUUCUAUGCCAUUGUGGAAUAAUUUGUUAAUUUUCAGUGGAUUCAUAAUGCCUUUAAAAAAUAAGGUUGUGUUCUCAGAGGUGAUAAAUUUUAUUUAUUUAUGAUGCUCCAUCUAUGUUAAGGCUAUUUGUAAGUCUAUGUGUAUGGUAGGAUUUUAGUUCUACACUGCAUCUUACACAGGUUAGUAAAAUAUAGCACAUUUAUUAAUUAUUUAGAGUAUAGGAUUACGUAUUGAUAAGUACAAGCUAUUGAGCCUUCCCAUGUCCUAGGCACUUUGCUGAAUUUUAAUCCUUAUCACAACUCAAUGGGAUAGAUACUGUUGUCAUCUUUUGUAGACAUGGGUUUAUUAUAGCUAUUUUAAAAUGAGUUAGCAAAUUCAAAUUUCAAAAAUUCUAUUUUUAUUUCUAAUAUGGUAAAUAUUGAUAAAUAAAAUUUAUAUAAACAAAUAUUUUGAUGUACUCAGUAACCCAUAAGGGUAUAUAAGAGCCCUGAAAUGAAAAAGUUUGAGAACUGCUUAUAAGCCCUAUAUAAUUAUUAGGUAUUAAUAUCAUUAUUAAUUUUUGAAUCUAUAUUCAAAUAUAGUUAUCAUAAAAUGAACUUCAUAUAUGUAAGUGUAUACUUUGAUGUGUUUUGACAUAUGUAUAUUAUAAUGAAGCCAUCAUCAUAAUUAAGAUAAUAAACAUAUCCAUCACUCUCAGAG